CGUGUAGGCGGUUAUGCAAGUCGGAUGUGAAAGCCCUCGGCUCAACCGGGGAAGUGCACUCGAAACUGCGUGACUAGAGUCUCGGAGAGGAUCGUGGAAUUCUCGGUGUAGAGGUGAAAUUCGUAGAUAUCGAGAGGAACACCGGUGGCGAAGGCGGCGAUCUGGACGAUGACUGACGCUGAGAGCGAAAGCGUGGGGAGCAACA
rnacentral:rRNA from 1 species